AAGAAUACUGUGCUCCGAUUCUGUUGUUCCCGCAUCUUGUUGCUUCACAACAGGGAAAGGCAGAACCAUAGGGUUCAAGGAGUGAUCCUUCAGCCUGCCGUGUUUGCAAAGGAGUCUAUUCAGCUGUCUG
rnacentral:ncRNA from 2 species